GUAACAAGGUUUCCGUAGGUGAACCAGCGGAGGGAUCAUUU
rnacentral:rRNA from 1 species